GUCCUCGUAGCUUACAAAAAAGCAUGCCACU
rnacentral:tRNA from 5 species